GCCAUUAGCAACGUAGUUGUUGAUGGCUAGUCUCACAACUGUAUAGCAGAAACCUAUCGCUAGCUAGUUCGCUUAAUAAAGCCACUCAACUAUAUAAAGAACGCGGCGUCAUUAGAGACGUUUCUUUCCAUUAAGCUCUUGUCAGCUGUCGAUGUGUAUCGACCUUUGAAAUUAUUUUUAUUUAGAAGUAAUCCGCUCCAGGCAAACAAGCUAACAUUACACAAGAACCGGAGCUUUUAAAAGUAGGUUGGUACUAGCUGAAUAGCUUGCGUCAAAAAUGUCAGAAGAUCAACUUGUCGGGGAAGAUCCAGUGACGAAGAUGGAGGAAGAUGGAGAGGCAAGUAGCGAAGAACAGCCACAAACAGCUGAUGAAGUCGGAGUGGGAGAAACAGAAGGAUCAAAGAUUGAUGCGAGUAAAAACGAGGAGGAUGAAGGGAAAAUGUUUGUUGGGGGACUAAGCUGGGACACAACAAAAAAGGAUCUGAAGGAUUAUUUCACCAAGUUUGGAGAAGUCGUUGACUGCACACUUAAGUUAGAUCCCUUAACAGGGCGAUCCAGGGGCUUUGGCUUUGUUUUAUUCAAAGAUGCUGACAGUGUGGAAAAGGUGAUUGCACAGAAGGAGCACAAACUUAAUGGGAAGGUCAUUGAUCCCAAAAAGGCAAAGGCCAUGAAAAGUAAGGAGCCUGUGAAGAAAAUAUUUGUCGGUGGCCUUUCCCCAGAUACACCUGAGGAGAAGAUCAGAGAAUAUUUUGAUGCAUUUGGAGAGGUGGAGUCAAUUGAGCUUCCUAUGGAGAACAAGACAAAUAAAAGGCGAGGUUUCUGUUUCAUAACUUUCAAAGAUGAAGAACCAGUAAAGAAGAUUAUGGAAAAAAAGUACCAUAACAUUGGACUAAGCAAGUGUGAGAUUAAGGUAGCCAUGUCAAAGGAACAGUACCAGCAGCAGCAGCAGUGGGGUGGCAGAGGUGGCUACUCAUCCAGGUCUCGGGGCAGAGGUGGCCCCAAUCAGAACUGGAACCAAGGAUACGGCAACUACUGGAAUCAAGGUUAUGGAAAUUAUGGAAACUAUGGCUACAGCAAUCAAGGAUAUGGUGGAUACGGUGGCUAUGAUUACUCUGGUUACAACAGCUACUACGGAUAUGGUGACUACAGCAAUCAGCAGAGUGGAUAUGGAAAGUCCCCUAGGCGAGGUGGUCACCAAAACAGCUACAAGCCAUACUAACAUCUGGAAAAUAAUGUCUGCAACAUUAAAUACAGCGGGGACUUCCUUGCAGGCCAUGAGCUGACUUCCCGAUUCUCUCAGGCCCGCUCAAUGCGGACAGGGUACGAGAGGCGUACGCUCUCGAAUGCUCCCAUUUGGUGGAGUUUCUUCGGAGUUGAAGGAUCAGCAGAAGAGAAAGCAGUAGGUCAAGAGUUUUGUUAUGUGGGAAUCUUGAAAGGACAGCAGUCACAGUCUUCAUCUUACCCGGUUAUUGACCAUGUCCCAGAUGUCUUUUGGUGUCAGUUAAAUCACCAAAGAUCACCAUAGUUGAAUGCUCUAACAUUAAAGAAGACACCCUCAUAGUAUACAUUACAUGUACCUUACUUAUUCCCCUGCUCCACAAAAUUCAGCAGUCCGACUCACCCAUACCUCUUAUCUCUAUUUUGUGUGAAUUUUGUAUGCAACUGCAGAAAGAAACUUUAUGUAAGGUCAAAUUUUUAUUGGUAAACUCCUGACGUGCAAUUGUUUUGUGUUUCUUUCAGUAUGCUUUCAGUAAUACAGUAUAAAGGUAAAUGCAAGAUAGUUUAGAAUGACUUUAUGUAGGCAAGUUCACUGAUUCUUUAUGGCUCAUAAAAGUCACACCACAAGUAGGAUAGUUGUAAUUUUGUAUCGAAAUAUUUUGCCUCUGCCAGAGACUGUGUUGACCACAUAACAAGAAAAUGGACAAAAUAAAUUGUGUGAGUUAUAAACCUG